GGAGAGGUGGCGGAGCGGUUUAACGCGCUUGUCUUGAAAACAAGAGUACGUGAUGAGCGUACCGUGGGUUCGAAUCCCACCCUCUCCU
rnacentral:tRNA from 1 species